AUCAAGUGCACUCUCAGCAGGUUUGCUGAUGAUCAGUGCAGUCGAUACUGCAGAAGAAAGGGAUGGCCUUGACAAACUUGGAAGUUUUGGUGCCACCUUAUCUCUGCAAUGAAGCAUAACUACAGCAAGCCUUUCAGCUGAGAUCUCAGUUACCCAGUUAUUGUCUUCUGGCAGCAGACAGAGAGCAGCUGGGCCAUCUAGAAGACACUUAUUACCUGAGAUAAGGGUUAGCCUGGGAGAAGUGUCACAGAGAUGGAUGUUUUCUCCAGAAAAACAAAGCUGUAUAUUCUGACCCUGGCACUCGUACAGGCAGGCUGUCAUAGUGUCUCUAUAUCCCCUUCUUCCCCACUGUGGGUUCCUCUGUAUGGAGAAGUUUCCCUUCGCUGCAUGUUGGUACAGAUGACCUGUGGAGCUCUUAUCUCCAAUGAAUCCUGCAUGCAUUAGUGGAAUACAAAAAAAAAAAAGAAAAGCAUAUUUUCACAGGACUUUCCCAUAUGAACCCUAUCUUAAACAUUCACUGCGGAGUGAUUAAAACAACCUAAUGCAGUCCUUCUAGCUGUGGUUAACCCAGUGACCUUUACAGAAAGAUAACCUUUCAGAAGCUUAUAAAUGGGACCAUUUUCCAUCAUAACCUAAUUUGCUUUGGGAACUCACAUUUUAAAUGAAUAUUCCUCACCAUUCUCCUCUUCCCAAGAGGUCACCGCACAUCCCCAGGCAAAGUAGUGCCAGCUUCAUGUGCACACAAUAUUCAGGAGCUCCUUUUCCAGCUGAAAAUUCAAUGCAGAUUAAAUUUGAAGUCCUAUUCACUACUUACACGUCUUCACCACUAUUGAUUACUGUGCAGAAAGUUCUUUUAAAGAUUUUAAGCUUCUUUAUUUUUUGGAGGAAGAAAAAGUACAGGUAGUUCAACCAGUGCCACAGGGAGGUAAUCAAGUUAGCAUCCUCUGGGAUUAUAGACAGGCGUUUCCUAUAUGGUUUAGGCAAAUGAAAAUCUGAAGCUAAAGAAGAUGAAUGAGUACUCACAGACCUCACCUCUACAAAGGCAUGUCAAGAACCCAGUUUUGGCAGCAGCAUGGUGGACCUGCUCAAAUACCGCUAUUGCUCCCAUAGGGUCAACCCACAUUGAGAGAACCACAACAACUGAAGGCCAAGGGAUGUUUAAAGAAGAAACAAAUACCAAGACUUAUUCCAGAUGUACUACAUGGAAGAAAAUAGAGUACCAAUCACUUUCCCAAACACUAUAAUUUGACAUGGAGACCUUCUUUAGAAAUUGCAUUUGCUCUUCAUUUUUAACCAAAUGGAUUUUGUUUUCCUCCUUACAACGGGUCUGAGCCUUCUGACACUGCUGCAAAGUGGAGACGCCACUAAUAAAUACUGAAAGACUCAAAGCUUUAAGUGAAAUGAAGGAUUUAUGGGGAUAAUAUUUCACUUUCCUUAAACCGUUCACCAUUAGAAUUGAACGUUUUAAUUUUAUGCUGAUUGCUCACAGAGCGAACGUUGAGACAUUUACCAAAGAAACCCAAGAGCCAGGAAAGCAGUCUAUAAAUAACUGCCUUGGAAAUAAACUUCUGUGAAUUGGACAUAACCCAGAUCAGAUUUUCAAGUGCGUUGUAAAUUACCCACAGCCAGAGCAUAGGUCAAAAAUAUUUACUCACAUUGAGCUUCAUUCCUCAGAUUCACCUCCCAGGAGUAUUUUAAAUCCAGAGCAGAUAUUAGAGAGGCCUGAAGUUCAGUUCGGUUUGCCCUCAGCCCUGCAUAGUUAUUUAUUCCUGUACUGGAUACAGCAGUAUUAUCUGCUGGCCUUGCACUAGCGCGUGUGUCCCUAAAAACCCAAAUCAUCAUAUGAUUUUCCCACUACAUUAAUACAGAAUGGAUUGCUUGUGAUUAAAGAUCGCUUAUGAUUAAACCUGACUUGAAAAGUGUUACAGCAGCUUUAGAAAAAUACAGGAGAACAGAACUAUGAAGGAGGAAGAGAACUAGAAACAGCUGGCAUGAAAUGAAGGCAGAAUUUGGUCUUAGAUCUGCAGGAUCAAGGUGGUAGCUGGACAACUUGAGCAAGACCAUUCCUGCUCUGCAUUACAUGCACAGUGCAACCUGAGCUGCAAUACCUGGAGCCUCAAAGAGAAAUUCUUGGGACCGUAUUAAUCUGUAGGAAGAACAUACAAAGUAUUUACCUAUCAAGGCAGCAUUCACAACUAGGAGCGGUGAUGCUUUUCAGAAGGAGGUCACACAUCAUGAGCUCUUCAUGUUUCCACAAGUCUGACAUAGCUUUCAAGAUUAAAGCUGAUAUGAAGAAGCAGCCAUCAAAAACCCUUGGGAGAUGCUUUACCUGAUUUCUAGGAUAAUCCUCUGCAGUUUCAAAUCAUGAUCUAAGCCUGAGCUGUGGAACUCAUGCAUUUUUUCAAAGAGAGAUGAGCCUAAUUUAGAAGUAGCACGUCACAUAUUAGAAUAGCAUCUUUAUGCUGGCUGUGCUUCCAUGCAUGUGAGACAUUCCACUUAAUUUAAGAAAUUUACAGUAUGCUUCAGCUCAAACAAUAUAUUCAUAAUUAGCCACGUGGCCUUAAUUGCAAAGAGAGCUAGCCAAACCAAGACAGAAUUUUGCUAAGCUAAGAUAGGGAUGCUGCUUUUUAAGAUAACUUUGUAUUAGUUUAAAUGCAACUUAACGCAGACUUCAUGGAAUAGCUGUAGGCUUUUUUAGAGCUAGCAAGUCAGAACACCCAACCAUCCAUUACUGAACAUCAUUAACAAGAGAAGUAUACCAGAGCACUAGGUCUUGGGUACUGAAGAGAGAACACAGAUGUGCCAAAAAGGUAAAUUCAGUCCUAACUGUGAACUGUUUAUUGCAUCACACACUCCUGACAUUCCCAAGAAAGCCUGCAGUGUCUCACUGUAGACCAGUGGGUUCACCCACCACAUGCACUGAUUUUAGCAGAUAACAGGGACUGUGCGGUCCCUUAUUAUGAGUUACAUCAACAAAAUAACAGCUUUGUUCAGUAGGUCCCAGAAUUACGGGGUGAGCUUCUAGUUUUUCUAGUUCCCUUCCAAGUCAGUCAGCUGGAAGUGUUGGUCUGAGACCAUAUUAUUUAAGCAAAGGGCAAGCUUCAAGUGCAGCUGAUCUGAGUACCUAUGACUUGAGAGCUGGCUGGUGGUAUCAGUUAAGAACACACAGGUUAGAAAUAUCCUUUAUCUCUUCUCUGCAUAUCCUCCACUUAGAUAUUAAUACCACAGACUUCUUGGAUUCUGAAGGGGAAGAAAGCAAACUAUAAAGAUAGAAAAAAAGGGAGGAGUAGAGGGUGAAUAAGACACAAGGAUGCCCUGCUACAAGAAGAAAAUAGAAACACUGAAUGGAAAACUGCUAAUGCAAAUUAAGCAAAGGCAUAGUCACAAGUACUGACAGAAUAAAUGGAUAAAGGGAGAGCAAUUAAUGUUAGUAAUUUAAGCUCAAUAUGAAGCAAGUGCAAGGUCUAAGACUGUGGUAGGCCUGGUUGUGCUGACUGAGACUCGUUUCACUCCAAUGUAAACUAUCCAAAAUAAAGUCUGAAUAAAGCAAGAGGCACCUCAGUCACCCAACAGAAGACACUGGAGCAAAGCAGGAUGAAUCCUCUUCCAUAAGAGAAGAAAGAAACAAGCUCUCCUGCUUGUUUGGGUGCUGCUGGCUGGAGUUCACCUCUAUCUAUAAACAGAGCCUUGGUACAGAAGCAUUUCUCAAGACACUACACUGUACCAUCAGCACAUGGGGGUAAUGGGUUUACUGGAGGAUCGAGAAACACCUUGCAGAGAUCUGUUUCAAAGCAAUCUCCAGAGCUCACACUUCUGUCAGCAAGCUCACAGCAGGACAAACCUCUGUUCCUAUAUCUGUGCCUGGCCUAUUGUAAAGAUUGUGUCAUCUCAUGCCAAGACAUGGUGGCAAGCCAACUUUCAAGCUUAUAUUUAAUUUAUUUCUUGGUCUGUAUGGUGAUGUUUGAAUUAGGUGAUCUAGCUGACCCAUCAAAAUCUACAGGAGCUGCUUCACUCUCAGAGCUUUGUUUCAUUGCUUUAUCCAGUUUGAAGCGGAGAUGCUGAACGCUAAAUUUAGAAUAACAUCAGCAGCUCGGUGCAUCUAUCUGCGCUUGCACUUUAUUUUCUGAAAGACGAUGACCAAACCAAAUCCUGAUUUCCUUUUAAUCUUGUCUAUUUUAAAUCAAACUGAAAAAGAUAUUAAAGCUGCUACUGUGAAACGUGCUGCUCCAUGAAUUAGUAAUUUUGUUUACUUUCUACGCUGGGAAUUUUUUUUGCCUGUGUUGCUGUUUCUUACUGCCACUCAAUGUGAGGAGCUUUUAUUUGAAUGAGACUAUUUCAAAGCACUUUUACGCUCAUGGAGAGUCGGGGACUUAUUUAUUUUCUGACAGUUAUUUACUUCCAGUAAAUAUUUCACAGCCACUGGAUCUCCCAGAUGAAAGCAGAGUUUGCUCUGCGCUCCUGUGCAGGAGUCUAAUUAAAACUGAAUAAAAUGAGAGGGACAGAGCCUAAAUGCUAACUGCGACAGAUGUGUCCAGAGGGAAUUCAGCAAGGGGAGUCUGCUCCUUGGCACAGACAUUGGAACCUCUACGUGAAGGCAAAAUAAGAGUGUCCAAUGUGGGAACCAAAAGCUUUAGAUGGAUGGGAAAGUAGGGGAGAAGCUUUCAGAGCUGA